rnacentral:rRNA from 1 species
CACGUAGGCGGCAAGAUAAGUUCGUUGUGAAAGCCCCACUGCUCAACAGGGGGAUUGCAGCGAAAACUGUUUUGCUUGAGUAUGGGAGAGGUGAGCGGAAUUCCAUGUGUAGCGGUGGAAUGCGGAGAUAUAUGGAAGAACACCGGUGGCGAAAGCGCUCUACUGGACCGUAACUGACACUGAGGGACGAAAGCCAAGGUAGCGAAAG